rnacentral:tRNA from 1 species
GAUUAUUUAGUUUAAAAAAAACAAAUGUUUUGAAAACAUUAAAUAAGAAAUAAUUCUUAAUAAUUG